UUUAUUACUAGGUUGUUUUCAUUAGUCAUGUCUAUAUAAUAAAAGAAUUUACUUUGUUUUUGGUAUUGUUAAAGAAAUAAAAAUUUAGUAUUCUAAAGAAAGUUAAAAUUUUGGAGUAAAAAUGAUUGAUGUAUGUACUUUUUGUAGAAUGGCUUAUAGAGAUAUUAUAUUGAUAUAUGUUCUUGAAAAUUUAAGAGCUAUUGUUUUUUUGUUUUUGUUGCAUAAAAGUCAUUAAAAUUAACGAUAGAGGUGACAUGUUUGUCGAAUAAGUUGAUAGCUAGUUUGAGGAGAAACAUAUUUACGUAUGGGGUAGAGUUUUUAUUUGUGUUUAUAACAGACUUAAUAAGGUUUAUACUCAGACUUUUAGGGCCUAGCUUAGAAGUAUUUUAAUAUUUUGUUUAGGAAAGAGUAGAGUUUAUAUUGCUUAUCUUUUAAACUUUUUUAUAAAGUGAACUAUAAUGAAGUUGAUUUUUUAGUAUCUUCAUAAGUAUAAUAAUUUUUUGUAUUGAGAUUAGUAUAAGAUUAGUAACUAAAUGAUACUGAAUUAAGAGGUAAAAUAUUUUUGAUUUGUUUUUAAAGUGAUGAUGGGAUGUGUUGGUGGAUUAAUACACAUAAAAAGUGUUAUUUGUUAUAGUUUCGGUUAAUAUUUAUUAGUUUGGAAUUAUUAAAAAUUGUAUUGAAAGAACUCGGCAAAUUUUCUUUGUGCCUGUUUAUCAAAAACAUGGCCUUUUGUUUUACACAUAUAAAAGGUUUGACCUGCCCGGUGACUGUAGUAGUUUAACGGCCGCUUUAUUUGUGCUAAGGUAGCACGGUGAGUAGCCCUUUAAUUGAGGGAUUGUAUGAAUGGUUGGACACGGAGAGACUGUUUCCAAUAUAAUAAGUAGAAGUUUCUUUUCAAGUGAAAAAGCUUGAGUUUUUGUAAAAGACGAGAAGACCCUGUCGAACUUAAUUAAAACCUAGUAUAUUUAAUUUUUUACCUUAUUUGUUUUGUUUUGUUAAAUUAGUUUUGUUGUUAUGACUCAUGUCUUAGUUAAGAAGUGUUAUUGCAAUAAAGAUUUUAUUAAUUUUUGAAAUUGGGUGUGGAAAAUUUAUUUUAGUUUUGAAUUUUUGUUGGGGCAACAGAAGUCUAUUAAACGAUAUCUUGUUGGAUAAAGACCCUGUAUGAUGGUUUAAAAGCAAAAGUUACCGCAGGGAUAACAGCGUAAUUUUUUUUUGUAAUUGUAUCGAUAAAAGAGUUUACGACCUCGAUGUUGAAUUAAGAAACCUUUAUGGCGCAGGAGCUAUAGGAGGAAAACUGUUCGUUUUUUAAUUUCUUACAUGAUUUGAGUUAAGAUCGGCGUGAGCUAGAUUGGUUUCUAUCCUUAUUUACUAUUUCUAUUGUACGAAAGGAUCCAGAAGUAGUGUUUAACACUGUAGUGAAACUAUAGAAAUGAGUAUUUUAGUU
rnacentral:rRNA from 1 species